AGCAGCCGCGGUAAUUCCAGCUCCAAUAGCGUAUAUUAAAGUUGUUGCAGUUAAAAAGCUCGUAGUUGAAUUUCGAGAUCAAAUUGUUGGUCGUGCCUUGGUACGCACUGGCAUUAUUGGUUUCUCCCUUCUGACGAACCAUGAUGUCAUUAAUUUGGUGUCUUGGGGAAUCAGGACUGUUACUUUGAAAAAAAUUAGAGUGUUUAAAGCAGGCUCACGCUUGAAUACAUUAGCAUGGAAUAAUGAAAUAGGACGUUUGAUUCUAUUUUGUUGGUUUCUAGGAUCGACGUAAUGAUUAAUAGGGAUAGUUGGGGGCAUUAGUAUUCAAUUGUCAGAGGUGAAAUUCUUGGAUUUAUUGAAGACUAACUACUGCGAAAGCAUUUGCCAAGGAUGUUUUCAUUAAUCAAGAACGAAAGUUAGGGGAUCGAAGACGAUCAGAUACCGUCGUAG
rnacentral:rRNA from 1 species